GGACGUUAAGAUGAAAUAGAGAAAGGGGCAGUCUCUGGUCCAAGUACAGGCGGGAAGGACAUUUGGCCACUGACUCACAGCCUGUCUAGAAAGGAGAUUGAAAAAAAGGAAGUCCAGUUUUCCAACUGCCACUGCUCCUUUGACAUGUUGAGCUGCGUGAUUUUAAAAGCAUUCCAGUUGCUUUUGAGUGGACAAUUGUUACAGCAAGAGGAG